rnacentral:antisense_RNA from 1 species
CUUGACGGAGCCGAGCCACAGCGGCCGUUCGCGGUCCUGUCCAUAGGUCGCGAGCAGGGCCUGCGCCUC